rnacentral:lncRNA from 1 species
CGGAGGCGGUAGAAGUGGACGUCACGCUCAGUCGCCAUGUUUGUUGUUGGCACAACGAUGGCGCUCGAGAGGGCCCCGGGUGGUCGUCGGUGUCCGAAUAGCCCGCCACCUUCAUCCAUCAGGUGGAUGACCUGAGAUUGGCUGAGGCAGGUCAGGUGGAGAGCAGUGGCCUCCCAAAUAGACUGCACUCGGAGCUGGCGUCAGCACAGCAUGUUACUUCCUGUCUUCCCAGUGCCCUCGCCUUAAAUGGAGUUGCUAUUGUUCAGUAAUCCGACAGGGCUUUCCCCGGGUGGUUCCUGUUUGCUCCCAACGACUUUCCUGCUGGGUUGACUGUGGAAGAACAGGUGCAGUGCCACUUGCCCACGCUCCACCAGGGCAGGAGCAGAACUUGUCAGACCCCACCAAUUGCCAACUUUCCGAGAAGGAUCUCUGCUCCCAGAGAGGGUGUGUCUGCUGUCUGUGGUUGCUCGCUAUGUCAGUGACUGGGUGAAGUAUUGUCACCUCAGCCACAUCCUCCAGUCCAG